rnacentral:rRNA from 1 species
AUACGUAGGGGGCAAGCGUUGUCCGGAAUCAUUGGGCGUAAAGGGCGCGUAGGCGGAUAAUUAAGUCUGGUGUGAAAACCUAGGGCUCAACCCUGGGACUGCAUCGGAAACUGGUUAUCUUGAGGACAGGAGAGGAAAGUGGAAUUCCACGUGUAGCGGUGAAAUGCGUAGAUAUGUGGAGGAACACCAGUAGCGAAGGCGGCUUUCUGGACUGUAACUGACACUGAGGCACGAAAGCGUGGGGAGC